rnacentral:rRNA from 1 species
UACGUAGGGUGCAAGCGUUGUCCGGAAUUAUUGGGCGUAAAGAGCUCGUAGGCGGUUCGUCGCGUCGGCUGUGAAAUCCCGAGGCUCAACCUCGGGUCUGCAGUCGAUACGGGCGGACUGGAGUUCGGGCAGGGGAGACUGGAAUUCGAUGGUGUAGCAGGUGAAAUGCGUAGAGAUCAUGAGGAAGACCAGUGGCGAAGGCGGGUCUCUGGACA